ensembl:lncRNA
CUGCCAUUAAGGAAGGAUCUUUCUCCAGAGGUCACUCCUCUUUUUUUGGCAAGCCCGGGACAUGGACAGAGACUUUUUGUCCAACCAAAGAUGCCUGAAGAAAGUGUGCUAGGAAGUGGGAAGGAGCAGCUGCAGAACUUCAUGGCUCAGAAUAUCAGAGGGAGUAGGAUUGCAAGGCAGCUGGAAGUGGAACAUCUCUUUUGGUGUUAGGCUUUAUUUAUCAUAUAGAGAGAAGAAUCAUCAAAAUCAGGGAUAUACUUCAUUUCUGUAGAUUUGGACUGGAGCCACAUCAUACUGUCAUAAG